AACGAACGCUGGCGGCAGGCUUAACACAUGCAAGUCGAGCGCCCCGCAAGGGGAGCGGCAGACGGGUGAGUAACGCGUGGGAAUCUACCCAUCUCUACGGAAUAACGCAUGGAAACGUGUGCUAAUACCGUAUACGUCCUUCGGGAGAAAGAUUUAUCGGAGAUGGAUGAGCCCGCGUUGGAUUAGCUAGUUGGUGGGGUAAAGGCCUACCAAGGCGACGAUCCAUAGCUGGUCUGGGAGGAUGAUCAGCCACACUGGGACUGAGACACGGCCCAGACUCCUACGGGAGGCAGCAGUGGGGAAUAUUGGACUGUGGGCGCAAGCCUGAUCCAGCCAUGCCGCGUGAGUGAUGAAGGCCCUAGGGUUGUAAAGCUCUUUCACCGGUGAAGAUAAUGACGGUAACCGGAGAAGAAGCCCCGGCUAACUUCGUGCCAGCAGCCGCCGUAACAC
rnacentral:rRNA from 1 species